UCAAAUUCUAGUUAAAUAGUAAAGGUUUUCAAAUAUUAAAACUAAAAUGUCCGGAUUGUGCCAGAUAUUGCAUAGGUAAUUACUAGCAAAAAUGCCCGUGCAUUGCAACGGGAAAAGAAAAAUAUCGCAUGUCCGGCUUCUGUGAUGUCUAAAGACCCCUCUUCUCUCUCACACACAUACAUGCACAUGGAUGUGCCUUCUAUUUUGACAUGACACCCGAACCCAAGUCGGCCGUUCACCACCUGAUCAUCCACACCACCUGAUCAUCCAUGUAUCCUGACAUGGUCGAGACGAGCUCAUCCACGAUACUGCCCGAACCACACCCAUGCAAGGGAAUGUUCAUAUAAAACAUAUAAAAAACUAAUCUCAUCGAGCUACAAGUGAGGACCGCCCAUGGCAAUCUUAAAAUAAACAUUUGGAAUUUCAAAAUUUGUUAAGGUUGCAAAAUUUUGUUUGAAUUUUUGAUAUUUAUUCAUGAUUUUAAAAAUGUAUUCAAAUAUUUGAAGGAAAAUCAUCCACACUUGUUUCCAAGAAUUGUUGAAAAUAUUUAAGAAAAAUAAACAGACCUGUCGCUAAACUACUUUAACUGGGGCGCUGCAAUUUGAGUAGUCGGCAGCUAGCUCAUGUGGUUGGCGUCGCUGCUACCUAGCUUGAGUUCGCGAGAUCGAACCCAUCGCGUGCGGUUUUGUUUUUCGUGCCAUUUUUACGUGCUCGUUUCCUGGUUAUGGGCCGGCCCGAUUACGCGAGCCUGAAAGCUCGACUGUUAGCUUGACUGAAUGUUGCAAGGUCCUGGAUGUACCUAACUGAAUGUGCAAUGGCACUGUACAUGAAGCAGAGUAACAGACAAUGUUGCUGAUGCACUACAUUUGUAGCUCAUAUUCUAGUUUCUCCUGGAACAUGUAUGAAUCAUGGUGGCACUUUGCUUUAAGGUCUUGUGCUAGCUAUGUGGCUGUGAGAGCUGGGUGUAGUUCCUAGCGUCCUCGCCUUGUUUGUUUUGGUUGUUGCACCUACUCUAGCUUCUAAUACAUUCAUAUGCAUCUCUUCUAAUUUCAAUAGUAUUAUACAUAUAAUCCUAUAUUUCAAUUGUACCCAAAUUUUUGUGUGACUGCAGAAACCACAAGAUAAAUAAAAUGCUGACGAAAAGAUGACAGAUGGAAAUCUGUACCUCACCAGUUCAACAUAUACCUCUCCAAAUGGUCAGGCCCAAGUCACAACGAAUAUAUCAGGCUCUAGCAGCCUUCUCCAUCCUCCUCCUCUCUAUGAAUUACCUGUAUGAGCGGGUAGUUAGGAACUUACGAUUAUCAUAAAGAUUUAUUGUCUCAGUGGAAAAACUAUGAUAAACUUUUUCUAGCUUCUUCAGCAAGGCAGGAGAUCUGUCGUAGGAUCUCAUGGGAUAGCUUGGUUUCUUGUGACACAUGAACGCACCUGUUCAUAUAUGUCUCACAGCCUAUAAAGUUACUUAGCAAUGUAAUACAUUUUUUCAAGUAAAAUAACACAGCAGAAGAAAUAGAAAACUUUUAAUCUCUGAAACCUAGCUACCCUUAUCUACCCAGUUGAUCUUAACUUCCAAACUAUAUCAACGAUAUCUUGGAUUUGAGAAAAUAAAAGCAUAUUUGAAGUUAUUAUUGUUGACACUACUACUCAAAUAUCCAAACAAUCGUUUAAUCAGAUUCAGCAGACCUUCAUACAAAUAUGAGUGUAGAAUGAAAACAUUAAACCAACGAAUCUAGGUUCCAUUGUCACCAACAUACACAAAUACAAAUGGAGUUAGUGAAGGCAGAUGUUAACUUUGGCUUGAAAGGGAAGUGAUAUCAUCAUAGACGGGAUCAAUUUUGGUGGAAUGACCUUCAUCUUCAGGGAAAGAAUGGAUAAAUAUAAAGAGAGAGCAUGCAUGAGAUUUAUAGCAGAACAAAACAAAGCAUGACAUAUCCCCGCCCAGCCUCCUUCAUUUCUUCAGCACUUUGUUAUCACAUCCCAGAUCGAUUUGGCUCGGUUCUAGAGGACCUUGUCUUAAUUGAAGAUUAAUUUAAAGCCAACCUGCACCAAGUUUCCUCCAUUGGUGACAUAGUGGGCUAAAACUGGGGGAGGCCAAAGAAGUGCUGCCUUCAUAGGCUUCGCUGAUCAAUCCGCUCUUCUCAAUUAAUCUUGCUAUGAAUACUUAUUAGUACAAGGGAAUUUUUACCCACCCGAACUCUAUUGUUGAACUCAGCAUGGCUAAGGUCCCACAGUCCAGCGUGCGCUAUCACGCCAAUAGGGGGCGGCUCUCCAGCACCAUCAUCCCCGCCAUUCACUAUCCUCAGCUUUGUCAAGAAGAUUGCCUGCAAUGCACGAUUCGAACCAUGUCCAAGAAGUUUGGACAAUGAACAGGUUGUAUGUGAUACUGAACAAGAAUAAUUGUAUGGCAGAAAACAUUGCUGAAUCUUUGAACCUGUCCUUGCAAGGCAAAGUGAAAGAAAUGUAUGAGGUGACCCACCCAAAGAUUACUAAUUAUCGCUAAUUACAAAUGGGCGAACAGAGCAGGUUUCAAACGGUACUGGAUCAUUCUUGCAGGCAGGGGAAUAAGGAUGUUGGGUUGAUGCUAUUCAAGAAGGAAAAGGCGGAGGUCAUCACGAACCUUUAGGAGAUGGGCGUUCUCGUGGGACAAGCUCGCAACCACGCCGCGCUGCUCCUGCGCCCACUGAGGCAGAGGGGGAGGAUGAACACGUCAACGAGCAGAAAGAAAUCAAAAUCGAAGCGGGCCGAAUUGGCGGAAGGAGGCGGGCGGGCGCAGAUCUCAUGGCCCGGUGGAUCACCUUGUCCUGCGCGCUGGCUUUGGCCUCGUCCUCCGUCGCUACUGCCUCGUCGUGCUCGUCGUCCUCGGGGGUGUCCGGGCUGGCGACGCCCUCGCUCCUAUCGUCAUCUGGCGCGGGCUUCUCGGCCGGCGGCGCCACUCGGGCCUUCCUCGACCAGCGCCGGCCCCAAGAUGGGAUCUCCGGCUGCUGCUGCUGCUGCUGGCGGUGGCGGCUGUUGCUGGGGUAACUUGGGGCAGGGGUAGGCACUCCGGCAGCGCGCGGCGAGGGAGGGGCAGCAGCGUGCGGUGACGGGAGGCGGGCUGGCGGCGCGCCGGCGGGGUGGGGACAGAGGUGGCGGCGCGCUGGAGUGGAGAUGGGAUUGACAGGAAGGGUCGUGCUGGUCUGGAUCUAGCCGCUGCGGGAGCGCCAUGGCUUCCCUUCUCAAUCUAGGUGGAAGAGAAGGGAAGGAGGAGGAGGCAAGGGGAGGUCGCCGGUGCGGAGAUGAUGGAGGCCGGAGGCGGACGGGGAGAGCGCGUGCCGGCAAGGGGCGGCGGAUGACGCGGGCUGGCGGCGAGGUGGCGGCGUCGCCAGAUGCAGCCGGGGUCGAGGGGUG
rnacentral:lncRNA from 1 species